rnacentral:rRNA from 1 species
UACGUAGGGCGCAAGCGUUAUCCGGAAUCAUUGGGCGUAAAGCGCGUGUAGGCGGCUGGCUAAGUCCGCUCUGAAAGCCCGGGGCUCAACCCCGGGAGGCGGGUGGAUACUGGUCAGCUCGAGUCCGGAAGAGGAGUGUGGAAUUCCUGGUGUAGCGGUGAAAUGCGCAGAUAUCAGGAGGAACACCAAUGGCGAAGGCAGCACUCUGGGACGGUACUGACGCUGAGACGCGAAAGCGUGGGGAGCAAACAGG